rnacentral:rRNA from 11 species
GUUCCAUCAUACCAUGCCUACUACGCCGCAUCCCAUCAGAACUGCGAAGCUAAGCGGCAUUGGGCCAGAAUAGUACUGGGAUGGGUGACCUCCCGGGAAGUCCUGGUGUGGAACC